UGAAUAUGUAAAAAUGAAAGAAAAGGCCAACUGUAUUGAAGAUACAAAAUAGAGUUGGUAGCGGUAUAUAGAAGAAAAAUCAAGAGGCUUCUGUGUAGAAAACCAAUUUGUAAUUUAAGGAUCGGGGACCAACAAUUUUUAAAGACUAAAUGUGUUCACAUGACUAUAGAUAUGUCUAUAAGGUGAAGAUCCUUUUCUUAGGUAUACAAAUGUGAUGUUGUAUAUAAAUGGGCUUCCCACCCACAAAUGCUUAUUAGCCUAAAAUGGCCUGAAAGCUCUAGUAAUUAUUUCUCUGCAUCCUAAUUUUUUGUCUUUGAAACAGAUUAUUUAGAAAAUCAUGUACUUUGCUUAAGUUUCUAACUUUUACUUGCUUUUUCCAGAGUUAUUUAUACCAAAUCCUACAGGGGAUUGUGUUUUGUCACUCUAGAAGAGUUCUUCACAGAGACUUAAAACCUCAAAAUCUCUUGAUUGAUGACAAAGGAACAAUUAAACUGGCUGAUUUUGGCCUUGCCAGAGCUUUUGGAAUACCUAUUAGAGUAUAUACACAUGAGGUAAUAACACUCUGGUACAGAUCUCCAGAAGUAUUGCU
rnacentral:sRNA from 1 species